rnacentral:rRNA from 1 species
GACGAACGCUGGCGGCGUGCUUAACACAUGCAAGUCGAACGAUGAAGCCCAGCUUGCUGGGUGGAUUAGUGGCGAACGGGUGAGUAACACGUGGGCAACCUGCCCCAAACUCUGGGAUAACUCCUCGAAAGAGGUGCUAAUACCGGAUACGAACUAGACAGACAGCUGUACUAGUUGGAAAGUUUUUCGGUUUGGGAUGGGCCCGCGGCCUAUCAGCUUGUUGGUGAGGUAACGGCUCACCAAGGCUACGACGGGUAACCGGCCUGAGAGGGCGACCGGUCACACUGGGACUGAGACACGGCCCAGACUCCUACGGGAGGCAGCAGUGGGGAAUAUUGCGCAAUGGGCGAAAGCCUGACGCAGCGACGCCGCGUGAGGGAUGAAGGUCUUCGGAUCGUAAACCUCUUUCAGUAGGGACGAAGCGAAAGUGACGGUACCUAAAGAAGAAGCACCGGCUAACUACGUGCCAGCAGCCGCCGCCG